rnacentral:rRNA from 1 species
UACGGAGGGAGCUAGCGUUGUUCGGAAUUACUGGGCGUAAAGCGUACGUAGGCGGCUUUGUAAGUUAGAGGUGAAAGCCCGGUGCUCAACACCGGAACUGCCUUUAAGACUGCAUCGCUAGAAUCCAGGAGAGGUGAGUGGAAUUCCGAGUGUAGAGGUGAAAUUCGUAGAUAUUCGGAAGAACACCAGUGGCGAAGGCGGCUCACUGGACUGGUAUUGACGCUGAGGUACGAAAGCGUGGGGAGCAAACAGG